rnacentral:rRNA from 1 species
AACGCUGGCGGCGUGCUUAACCAUGCAGUUAACGAACUUCGGGUUAGUGGCGGACGGGUGAGUAACGCGUAAGAAUCUGCCCUCAGGAGGGGGACAACAGCUGGAAACGGCCGCUAAUACCCCAUAUGCCGCGAGGUGAAACGAAUUUCGCCUGAGGAUGAGCUCGCGUUCUGAUUAGCUAGUUUGGUGGGGUAAGAGCCUACCAAGGCAUCGAUCAGUAGCUGGUCUGAGAGGAUGAUCAGCCACACUGGGACUGAGACACGGCCCAGACUCCUACGGGAGGCAGCAGUGGGGAAUUUUCCGCAAUGGGCGAAAGCCUGACGGAGCAACGCCGCGUGAGGGAUGAAGGCCUCUGGGCUGUAAACCUCUUUUAUCAAGGAAGAAGAUCUGACGGUACUUGAUGAAUAAGCCACGGCUAAUUCCGUGCCAGCAGCCGCGGUAAUACGGGAGUGGCAAGCGUUAUCCGGAAUUA